rnacentral:rRNA from 1 species
AUCGAUGAAGAACGCAGCGAAAUGCGAUAAGUAAUGUGAAUUGCAGAAUUCAGUGAAUCAUCGAAUCUUUGAACGCACAUUGCGCCCUCUGGUAUUCCGGGGGGCAUGCCUGUUCGAGCGUCAUUACAACCCUCAAGCUCAGCUUGGUAUUGGGCUCGCCCUUCAUGGGCCUGCCUCAAAAUCAGUGGCGGCUCCGUCCAGUCUCAAGCGCAGUAAUACUCGUCGCUUGUUAGGCUUUGGUCGAUGGCCUGCUAACAACCCCCAAUUUUACAAGGUUGACCUCGGAUCAGGUAGGGAUACCCGCUGAACUUAAGCAUAUCAAUAAGCGGAGGAAAAGAAACCAACAGGGAUUGCCUCAGUAACGGCGAGUGAAGCGGCAACAGCUCAAAUUUGAAAGCUGGUACUUUUAGUGCCCGCGUUGUAAUUUGUAGAGGAUGUUUCGGGUGCGGUGCCGGUCUAAGUUCUUUGGAACAAGACGUCAUAGAGGGUGAGAAUCCCGUAUGUGACUGGUUGCCUGUGCCCAUGUGAAACUCCUUCGACGAGUCGAGUAGUUUGGGAAUGCUGCUCAAAAUGGGAGGUGUAUUUCUUCUAAAGCUAAAUAUUGGCCAGAGACCGAUAGCGCACAAGUAGAGUGAUCGAAAGAUGAAAAGCACUUUGGAAAGAGAGUUAAACAGUACGUGAAAUUGUUGAAAGGGAAGCGCUUGCAAUCAGACUUGCGCGGCGUCGAUCAGCCUGGGUUCUCCCUGGUGUACUCGGCGUCGCUCAGGCCAGCAUCAGUUUCGACGGUGGGAUAAAGGCUUAGGGAACGUGGGUUGCUUCGGUGACCGUUAUAGCCCUAGGUGCAAUGCCGCCUGUCGGGACUGAGGACCGCGCUUCGGCUAGGAUGCUGGCGUAAUGGUUGUAAGCGACCCGUCUUGAAACACGG